GACGAACGCUGGCGGCGUGCUUAACACAUGCAAGUCGAACGGAAAGGCCCUGCUUUUGUGGGGUGCUCGAGUGGCGAACGGGUGAGUAACACGUGAGUAACCUGCCCUUGACUUUGGGAUAACUUCAGGAAACUGGGGCUAAUACCGGAUAGGAGCUCCUGCUGCAUGGUGGGGGUUGGAAAGUUUCGGCGGUUGGGGAUGGACUCGCGGCUUAUCAGCUUGUUGGUGGGGUAGUGGCUUACCAAGGCUUUGACGGGUAGCCGGCCUGAGAGGGUUACCGGCGACAUUGGGCCUGAGAUACGGCCCAGACGCCUACGGGAGGCAGCAGUGGGGAAUAUUGCACAAUGGGCGGAAGCCUGAUGCAGCAACGCCGCGUGCGGGAUGACGGCCUUCGGGUUGUAAACCGCUUUCGCCUGUGACGAAGCGUGAGUGACGGUAAUGGGUAAAGAAGCACCGGCUAACUACGUG
rnacentral:rRNA from 1 species